GCGAGCGUAGCUCAACGGCAGAGCAUCGAGCUUAUACCUCGAGGGUUGAGGGUUCGAAUCCUUCCGCUCGCA
rnacentral:tRNA from 1 species